UUAAAUUGAAGAGUUUGAUCAUGGCUCAGAUUGAACGCUGGCGGCAGGCCUAACACAUGCAAGUCGAACGGUAACAGGAAGCAGCUUGCUGUUUCGCUGACGAGUGGCGGACGGGUGAGUAAUGUCUGGGAAACUGCCUGAUGGAGGGGGAUAACUACUGGAAACGGUAGCUAAUACCGCAUAACGUCGCAAGACCAAAGAGGGGGACCUUCGGGCCUCUUGCCAUCGGAUGUGCCCAGAUGGGAUUAGCUUGUUGGUGGGGUAACGGCUCACCAAGGCGACGAUCCCUAGCUGGUCUGAGAGGAUGACCAGCCACACUGGAACUGAGACACGGUCCAGACUCCUACGGGAGGCAGCAGUGGGGAAUAUUGCACAAUGGGCGCAAGCCUGAUGCAGCCAUGCCGCGUGUAUGAAGAAGGCCUUCGGGUUGUAAAGUACUUUCAGCGGGGAGGAAGGGAGUAAAGUUAAUACCUUUGCUCAUUGACGUUACCCGCAGAAGAAGCACCGGCUAACUCCGUGCCAGCAGCCGCGGUAAUACGGAGGGUGCAAGCGUUAAUCGGAAUUACUGGGCGUAAAGCGCACGCAGGCGGUUUGUUAAGUCAGAUGUGAAAUCCCCGGGCUCAACCUGGGAACUGCAUCUGAUACUGGCAAGCUUGAGUCUCGUAGAGGGGGGUAGAAUUCCAGGUGUAGCGGUGAAAUGCGUAGAGAUCUGGAGGAAUACCGGUGGCGAAGGCGGCCCCCUGGACGAAGACUGACGCUCAGGUGCGAAAGCGUGGGGAGCAAACAGGAUUAGAUACCCUGGUAGUCCACGCCGUAAACGAUGUCGACUUGGAGGUUGUGCCCUUGAGGCGUGGCUUCCGGAGCUAACGCGUUAAGUCGACCGCCUGGGGAGUACGGCCGCAAGGUUAAAACUCAAAUGAAUUGACGGGGGCCCGCACAAGCGGUGGAGCAUGUGGUUUAAUUCGAUGCAACGCGAAGAACCUUACCUGGUCUUGACAUCCACAGAACUUUCCAGAGAUGGAUUGGUGCCUUCGGGAGCUGUGAGACAGGUGCUGCAUGGCUGUCGUCAGCUCGUGUUGUGAAAUGUUGGGUUAAGUCCCGCAACGAGCGCAACCCUUAUCCUUUGUUGCCAGCGGUCCGGCCGGGAACUCAAAGGAGACUGCCAGUGAUAAACUGGAGGAAGGUGGGGAUGACGUCAAGUCAUCAUGGCCCUUACGACCAGGGCUACACACGUGCUACAAUGGCGCAUACAAAGAGAAGCGACCUCGCGAGAGCAAGCGGACCUCAUAAAGUGCGUCGUAGUCCGGAUUGGAGUCUGCAACUCGACUCCAUGAAGUCGGAAUCGCUAGUAAUCGUGGAUCAGAAUGCCACGGUGAAUACGUUCCCGGGCCUUGUACACACCGCCCGUCACACCAUGGGAGUGGGUUGCAAAAGAAGUAGGUAGCUUAACCUUCGGGAGGGCGCUUACCACUUUGUGAUUCAUGACUGGGGUGAAGUCGUAACAAGGUAACCGUAGGGGAACCUGCGGUUGGAUCACCUCCUUA
rnacentral:rRNA from 1 species